UACGGAGGGGGCGAGCGUUAUUCGGAAUUAUUGGGCGUAAAGGGCUCGUAGGCGGCCAAGUAAGUCAGACGUGAAAUCCCUCGGCUUAACCGGGGAACUGCCUUUGAUACUGGGUGUCUUGAGUAUGGAAGAGGUGAGUGGAAUUCCGAGUGUAGAGGUGAAAUUCGUAGAUAUUCGGAGGAACACCAGUGGCGAAGGCGGCUCACUGGUCCAUUACUGGCGCUGAGGUGCGAAAGCGUGGGGAGCAAACGGG
rnacentral:rRNA from 1 species